GUUUUAAUAGUUUAAACAUAAAACAAUGACUUUGUAAGUCAUAAUUAGGGAAUACCUUUAAAACU
rnacentral:tRNA from 1 species